ACUAAAUAGCUGGAAGUAAUCACCCUUUUUAUUUUGUUUUCUCCCAGAGACUAAAAACGUCAGCAGCAAGUGGCACCAGACAUGAUUAUGUGGAUCUGAGAGAACUGGCAAAAUAGAGAAGUUUGCAUCAUCAAUACCAUGUCCUCACACUGCCAUUUGACAUGAGGAAAAAGAUAAAAAAGAAUAAUUCUCCAGGAUGUUCCGGGAUACCUGGCAAAUGGUCUCUGCAAAUUUGUGUUAAAGAGAGGUGAGUUUUGGCCACAGGUCUUUUAAUUCUGUAUAAAAUGCCUUCUUUAUAUAGACCAGAAUAAAAGUGCUCCAUAAACUGAAUUUUUCUGUAAA
rnacentral:lncRNA from 1 species